rnacentral:rRNA from 1 species
CCCAGACUCCUACGGGAGGCAGCAGUGGGGAAUAUUGGACAAUAGGGGGAACCCUGAUCCAGCGACGCCGCGUGAGUGAAGAAGUAUUUCGGUAUGUAAAGCUCUAUCAGCAGGGAAGAAAGAAAUGACGGUACCUGACUAAGAAGCCCCGGCUAACUACGUGCCAGCAGCCGUGGUAAUACGUAGGGGGCAAGCGUUAUCCGGAUUUACUGGGUGUAAAGGGAGCGUAGGCGGUAAUGCAAGUCAGAAGUGAAAGCCCGGGGCUCAACUCCGGGACUGCUUUUGAAACUGUGUUACUAGAUUGCAGGAGAGGUAAGUGGAAUUCCUAGUGUAGCGGUGAAAUGCGUAGAUAUUAGGAGGAACACCAGUGGCGAAGGCGGCUUACUGGACUGUAAAUGACGCUGAGGCUCGAAAGCGUGGGGAGCAAACAGGAUUAGAUACCCGAGUA